rnacentral:tRNA from 1 species
UCCCUAGUAGUUCAGAUGGUAAAGCAUCUGCCUACAAUUCGGGAGACCCAGGUUCAAACCCUGGUCGGGGAG